UAAAACUACUCCAUUAUUUUUCUUUUUCUUUUUCUUUUUCUUUUUCUUUUUUCUUUAAAAAAAAAUAUCAUUCAUUCAUCCAUAAAUAUGACGCCACCUGCACAUAUCCAUAAAAAAUAAAAAAAAAUAAUGAAUAUAAAUAUAAAAAAAAAUAAUAUUUUUAUUUUUUUUGUUUUAAAUAUACCCCUCAUUUAAUUUUUCAUUAUUCAAAAAUAAUACGGUGUUAAUACCCGUUAAGCCAUCUACGGUUGAAUUAGGAUUAAGUUUCUACCAGGUUAAAAAAAUUAAAAUAUCUCUUUUACUCCUAACUUAAAGUCAAAUAAGAAAAACUGAUGACGGUAAAAGAAUAUAUUUGAAAAAUCAACAAAUUAAAAUACUUUUUUUUGUCGCUAACUCUAGGACAAAUAAGAAAAGUUGGUGUUAAUAGAAUAAUAUAUUUGAAAGGACGAAAUACUAAUUUUACAGAAAUAAUAGCUGUUUCUAAUCGUUCACUAAUAGAAUUUAAUUCUAAAUGUAUAUUUGAAAUAACUUGAAAGGUUAAAAAGAUACUUUUAAUGCUAGCAUCCUAAGAGAGAUAAAUAAAAAAGUCUGAAACUUUUCAGAAAUAUAUAUAUACUAAUUAGAGAAAACACUCGUUCAUAUUUAUUUGAGAUUGUAUUAUGCUGCAGGUCCUAAGUUAGGAUUCCACAACGAAUUCUUCAGCCUUUUUUGUUU
rnacentral:lncRNA from 1 species